rnacentral:rRNA from 1 species
AUUGAACGCUGGCGGCAUGCCUUACACAUGCAAGUCGAACGGCAGCACGGGAGCAAUCCUGGUGGCGAGUGGCGAACGGGUGAGUAAUAUAUCGGAACGUGCCCAGUCGUGGGGGAUAACGUAGCGAAAGCUACGCUAAUACCGCAUACGAUCUACGGAUGAAAGCGGGGGAUCGCAAGACCUCGCGCGAUUGGAGCGGCCGACAUCAGAUUAGGUAGUUGGUGAGGUAAAGGCUCACCAAGCCGACGAUCUGUAGCUGGUCUGAGAGGACGACCAGCCACACUGGGACUGAGACACGGCCCAGACUCCUACGGGAGGCAGCAGUGGGGAAUUUUUGGGACAAUGGGCGCAAGCCCUGAUCCAGCAAUGCCGCGUGCAGGAUGAAGGCC